AAGAUUAAGCCAUGCAUGUCUAAGUACAUGCCGCAUUAAGGCGAAACCGCGAAUGGCUCAUUAAAUCAGUUACGGUUCCUUAGAUGUUGACCUAUCCUACAUGGAUAACUGUGGUAAUUCUAGAGCUAAUACAUGCACAAAAGCCGAAACUUGAGCGUGCGAGCAAUCGUACGUGCGGGAAUCGGUGCACUUAUUAGACCAAGACCAAUUGCUGCUGCGUUCACGCGUAGCAGUAAAAACGUGUUAUGGUGACUCUGGAUAAUUGAUGCUGAUCGCAUGGCCACGCGCCGGCGACGAAUCUUUCAAGUGUCUGCCUUAUCAACUGUCGAUGGUGGGUUACAUGCCUACCAUGGUUGUAACGGGUAACGGGGAAUCAGGGUUCGAUUCCGGAGAGGGAGCCUGAGAAACGGCUACCACAUCCAAGGAAGGCAGCAGGCGCGCAAAUUACUCACUCCCAGCACGGGGAAGUAGUGACGAAAAAUAACAAUACCGGACUCUUUUGAGGACCGGUAAUUGGAAUGAGAACAAUUUAAAUCCUUUAACGAGGAUCAAUUGGAGGGCAAGUCUGGUGCCAGCAGCCGCGGUAAUUCCAGCUCCAAUAGCGUAUAUUAAAGUUGUUGCGGGUGAAAAGCUCGUAGUUGGAUCUCUUCUCCGUGUCAGGUGGUCCACUCAACUGGUGGCUACUGCUCUGGCCGAGACGCUACGCUUUAUCGUUGCCGUUGUGGCGGUGCCCUUAAUCGGGUGCCGUCACCGCACGAUAGGUUUACUUUGAAAAAAUUAGAGUGCUCAAAGCAGGCGCACGCAUCCUCGCCGCAAGGUGGGGUCUGUCGCACGAAUAAUGUUGCAUGGAAUAAUGGAAUAUGACUGCGUGUCAGCUAUUCUGUUGGUCUUACUGUACGCACGCGGUAAUGAUUAAGAGGAACAGACGGGGGCACUGGUAUUGCGGCGCUAGAGGUGAAAUUCUUGGACCGCUGCAAGACCAACUACAGCGAAAGCAUUUGCCAAGAAUGUUUUCAUUAAUCAAGAACGAAAGUUAGAGGUUCGAAGGCGAUCAGAUACCGCCCUAGUUCUAACCAUAAACGAUGCCAACCAGCGAUCCGCCUGAGUUCUGCUUUUAAUCGACUCGGCGGGCAGCUUUCGGAAACCCAAAGUUUUUCGGUUCCGGGGGAAGUAUGGUUGCAAAGCUGAAACUUAAAGGAAUUGACGGAAGGGCACCACCAGGAGUGGAGCCUGCGGCUUAAUUUGACUCAACACGGGGAAACUCACCCGGCCCGGACACUGGAAGGAUUGACAGAUUGAGAGCUCUUUCUUGAUUCAGUGGGUGGUGGUGCAUGGCCGUUCUUAGUUGGUGGAGUGAUUUGUCUGGUUAAUUCCGAUAACGAACGAGACUCUAGCCUACUAAAUAGUACUGCGAGUUCUUGGAUGUUACUGUAGUGUGUGCCAUUCCUAGUGGAUGGUAACUGCUGCUGUAUACAACGAGACCACCUUUGCAGUUGACUUCUUAGAGGGACUGGCGGCGUUUCAGCCGCACGAAACAGAGCAAUAACAGGUCUGUGAUGCCCUUAGAUGUCCGGGGCCGCACGCGCGCUACACUGAAAAGAUCAGCGUGCUUGUGAUUUCAACCUGCUAUGAAACGUAGCAGGAAACCCCCUGAACCUUUUUCGUGAUUGGGAUAGGGGCUUGUAAUUGUUGCCCUUGAACGAGGAAUUCCCAGUAAAUGCGAUUCAUCCAGAUCGCGUUGAUUACGUCCCUGCCCUUUGUACACACCGCCCGUCGCUACUACCGAUUGAAUGAUUGGGUGAGCUUUUUGGAGUGUUUGCUAGGUGUUGGUAGCCUCGGUUGCUAACGCUCUGCAGAUGCAAAGAUACGCAAACUCGAUCAUUUAGAGGAAGUAAAAGUCGUAA
rnacentral:rRNA from 1 species